UGUCAUUCUUACACGGAACAUAAUUUAACAUUCCUUUAUUAGAUAUCUUGAACACUUAACUAGUCAUUUACAAAACGUAAGGAACAAAGUUAAGAUGUUGGCUGCAUCGAAUUAACAUUAACAAUGACCUGUCUAUAUUUAUCCAUUCUAGUCUGUCUUACCACAGCGAAAUGUAUAGCAUCUCUAGAGUGUUAUUCAUGCACCGAUAUUGAAGACUUAGACAACUGCCACAAUACAUCACAAUGUCAGUAUGCCCAGUCUUGCUACACCAACUUGCAAACAUCCGGACAAAAACAAUCAUUUACACUGGGGUGCACGGAUAAUCAGCAAUGCGGGACUAUAGGCGGUGGUGGCCCUGGGAUAAUUGGACGAGAUAUCAGUAAACGUGAGACAGCUCAGUGUCAUGAAUGUUGCAGUACGAAUCACUGUAACAAUCUGCUAUGCAGUCAUUUAAAACCGACGACAUGUAUAGAUGAUGUAAAGGUUGACUGUGCCUUUCUAAAUGCAAUGUUUAACAUAUGUCAAGACAUUCACCAUUCGAAAACGGUCUGUCCCAAAUUUUGCCAGUUGUGUGAUUUAGAGGAUGGUAACUGGGCGGAAUGGUCACAGUGGUCAGUAUGUGACGUUACUUGUGAUAAUGGCACACAGACUAGAAAGAGGACAUGUACCAAUCCUGCACCAGCGAAUAACGGUUUAGACUGCACAGGGAAUGACACCGAUAUCAAGGCUUGCCACAAACAAUUGUGUCCAGUUCAUGGAGGAUGGACAAAAUGGUCCGAAUGGGGGACAUGCACUGUUACAUGUGAUGUCGGAAUUGAGAGAAGACAUCGACAAUGCACGAAUCCCCAUCCAUCGAGGUUCGGAGAUCCCUGUUUUGGUGAUCCGUCUGAUGACAGAAUAUGUAUGCCUGGACCAUGUGCAAAUGGCGGAUGGUCUGACUGGGGACAUUGGAGUAGUUGUAGUGCAUCUUGUGGUGGAGGACUCCGCAGCCAUUCAAGACAGUGUACACAGCCCAGACCCUCCCCUUAUGGGAAAUAUUGUGAUGGUAUCAAUAUAGAAAUGCAGUUGUGUAAUAAGCAUACUUGUGAGAAGUGGCGUCUUUAUAUAUUGUUUUACUAGGCAUCUCAUCAUAUUUGCCUUCUUAAUUUUUUUUUUAGAAAUGAAAUACAUUUUGUGACAGGAAAGGCCGUACCGGCGACAGUAACCAUCAGAACAAAUCAACACCCUUUACAAUAUUUACAAAUUUAUUUACAUAAGAUGAUUAUUAACAAUGAAUAGAUAUGAAAAAAAAAAAACUGAUUAUAAGAAAGAAAAAAAAAAGUUCAGUAUCUCUAGAUACAAAAGUUCUUAUAGUCCAUUCUAAUCUGACGUGACACAGGUCUUUAAUGUAAUUGUGAACUUUAAGUAGCACAAACAAAACGUAGCUUCUAAAUUCAAAAUACAGUCCCUUUAAACCGUGAAUACGUUGAUUCCGUGUUGGCUCCCUAUGGUGGUAGGUGAUUGCAUCCCUGAGCUGACUUCAGAGGAUAACAAAAAUCAUCGUCUUUGCGGUUUACGGCACAACCAUGGGACGAAAGCUCUGCGCUGGGAAUAUCACAUCCAGGCGAGUGAAGACAAGUGAACCUCGGGCAUUGUACUUCCGGGUUAUGACAUCACCAGGAAAAUUCGUCUGGCGGAAGAAGCUAAAAUAUAUAACAUAUGAUAUAUCAGUUACCUUCAAAGCAGAGCAUCUAGCAAACCUCAACCCUUCAAGUAAUGAAGUUUUGGUGUUCGACCACACACUCUUAAACAGAGGAGAUGCUUACAACAACAGAACGGGACAGUUCACAGCGCCUGUAGAUGGAACCUACAUAUUUACUGUACAGAUAUGUGGUACUUCAAACCAUUUUUGUUUUAUAAAUAUAGAAAUUGCAUCUGUCGCAUACACUAAAACACUAAUCUUUUACGAAGCGAACGGCUAUAAUUCUUGUCACACAGCAGAUGCGAUUGCAUGGGUCUUUAAAGGACAAUCAGUAGUAGUAAGACAUAAUAAAAGAAGUGGAAGUAUUGCUCAGGAUUCAGAACAAUGGAAUACAUUUUCUGGUACUUUAAUCCAUUAGAAAAGUAUUUUGUACGACACAUUGUAUUCAAUAGUAUUAGUCUUAUACUGAGUGUAGUGAUAUAUGUUAACUGUACAGCAUGUUAUUAAAGUCUACUUCCUUUUUGAGGGUAUGUGGUAUAUUAAACACGUGUUGAUAUUCUGUCUGAAUAAUAUGAAAAUAACUGUGUAAUGUUUUAUCUAUUAAGUUGUCCGUCACUUUUUACCAUGCUGGCAUAAUGCAUAGACGAUAGUCUUCAAAUUCCAGACAGUUCAUUUGACUUGAUGUUGUAAAGCUAUUAUUUGCAUUAUUAUACCUGAUGAUGAAUUUAAGAAAUAAAUCACGCUUAACGUAGUUCUGCACAUUCGGAUAGAAUCUUUUUCUACAAUUGUAUGUAGAAUUUGAAUAAACCCUGAUUUUUCAAAACUUCAGCAUAUAAAAAGAAAAAGAAAAAAAAAGAUAGUAUAAUAAAGUAUUGCGUUAUAUAGUCAUGAUACCAUGGCUUAAAGUGUUAAGUGUUACAAAGACCAGACAAGAACGGACAAUAUGACACCUAAUGGAAACCAAACGAGAUAACAAAUUACGAAAUUGGUAAACUGACUCAUAAACCAUACUAGAAAGAAGAAAUAAUACUACUACUCUGCGUGAAAGACGAAAAAGAGAGAGGGAUAUUGUUUUCCCUCUUGCAGGUCAGUCUAAUAUGUCGUAUGAUCUUCAGAUCACAACAAUCGGGCCUGUGACUUUAAACAUUCAUUAGGUGUUUAGAUUAAUAAUGUUUAAUGUUUUGGUUGAACAUAAAGUUUCCGAUCAUAUAUUGAAGGAGACUUAAAACUAUAGGUCUUUGAAUUCUAAUGACUAUUGCCUAUUAUCAGCAGCAGACAUCUGUAGUUCUUUUGGUGAGUAAAAUUCAAGGUCAUGGUUACAAUAAGUUGGUGUAUAAGGUAAAUGUCUCAGAAAACUUAAAACUCUUUCAGAUUAGUAGUUUGAGAACGCACAAGUCUACAAAAUAGUUGAUUGGUAUUGGACAGUAGAUUACCCGUAUCAAACUUUUGUUCAGUAAAUAGUCCAAACACUUUGGCCUACGCAAGCCAGACGUCGGUUCAUUGCAACAAUGAUAGCAUAUACGAUCUACAAACGACUUAAAAUUUUAUACUUUUUAACCAACAUUGUGAAAAAUAUUUCUUCAUUAACGUUACAUCUAAACACGAUUUCUUUCUCAUUAAGGCUCUUUUCAUAGACAGAGAGUAGUGUCAUACAAUAAAAAAGUGUUUGUGUUGUACAAACAUUUGUUUCAAUGCAUAACACGCAUUUCGGAUUAAAAACAAAUUUCUGAUUUUCGGAAUCUCUCUUUUUCCUUUCGAUACUUUUAUUGUGUGGUAUAUAAAAAACUUCUGCAUACUGUUUUGUUUACAAACCAGUCCACAUGCAUUGCAUUGAAAGUGAUUCUAAGGUUGAGUAAAUUUGACUGACUUAAUACAAUAUUAGUAUUUACUUAAGACAAGAAUCGUCAUCUGCAUGCUUAAACAAAGAAUUGACAUGUCAUGAAUUAUUCUACAAAGAUAAAAGACGGACAGUUGCGUUUACCACAAAUCAUCUACUACUGCUUUGCCAGACCAGUGAUAUAAGGUAUUGUAUAUUUCUGUAUAAUUAGAUUGAUGUCGAUUCUUUUUUUUUCUGGCAAGUAAGUCAUAUAAAAAGAAAAAUGUAUAGCGUAAUAUAUUUUAGAAACAAAGAUAUACUUAAAUAUCAACUAAUCAAACAGUGGACCUAAUUUCUAAUAUCGUCGGUUUUUACAUCACUUAAGCUUUGUGAUCAUGUCCUAUACAUCUAAACAAGUAAGUUUAUUCUCCAAAGAAUUGAAAACAAAUAUACUGUGUCAUUACAUACUCGUUUUCAUUCUUCAGUAAGUUACAACAGCACUGGGAACAUUAAUAUUUUUCCAUAUAGAAGUCUGAAUCGUUGAGCUUUUUAUUUAGGUUAAUUUAUUAAACUUCAGAUGAAACUUAUAAAAUAUGAAUAAUAAAGAUAUGUGUAGAUAAGUAUGUAAUAGAAAGAUUAUUAGCUUUUCAUGGAGAAAUAUGCACUCAUUUAUUAGACGAAUAAUACUGCGUUCCUAAAGUCGCAAAAAAGUCCUAAACCUAUGAUAUUCCUAUCACUAUUUCGUUCAAAUUGAUAAUUACACAUUUUUUAUAUUUUAAGACUCAUGAUUUCGGCAUUGUGUGACCGUUGUGUGGCCAGGCAUUCCCAUUUAGUAUGCUAUUUGGGCAUCAUAGUAUAUCACAUGCAGACACGGAAAACAACAUCGAACAGAACACG